rnacentral:lncRNA from 1 species
UGUGAACGAAUUCCUUCCGAACUUCUAUUGCGGGUAGGCUUCGGCCGAGCUUCCUCAAUAAAUGAUCCCCAUUCGGACUUCUACGAGAACCAGACUCCGACCAAACUUCUGUAGCGGACAGAUUCUGGACGAACUCCUACGACGCGUGGGCUCCAACAGCCGAACCCCUCCAGCGGGUGAACCUCUCUAGCACCAUCCGACAUCCACUGCCAGUCGACCUUCUAUCGGAUUCUGC